GAUGAACGCUGGCGGCGUGCCUAAUACAUGCAAGUCGAGCGAACUGAUUAGAAGCUUGCUUCUAUGACGUUAGCGGCGGACGGGUGAGUAACACGUGGGCAACCUGCCUGUAAGACUGGGAUAACUUCGGGAAACCGAAGCUAAUACCGGAUAGGAUCUUCUCCUUCAUGGGAGAUGAUUGAAAGAUGGUUUCGGCUAUCACUUACAGAUGGGCCCGCGGUGCAUUAGCUAGUUGGUGAGGUAACGGCUCACCAAGGCAACGAUGCAUAGCCGACAUGAGAGGUUGAACGGCCGCACUGGGACUGAGACACGGCCCAGACUCCUACGGGAGGCAGCAGUAGGGAAUCUUCCGCAAUGGACGAAAGUCUGACGGAGCAACGCCGCGUGAGUGAUGAAGGCUUUCGGGUCGUAAAACUCUGUUGUUAGGGAAGAACAAGUACAAGAGUAACUGCUUGUACCUUGACGGUACCUAACCAGAAAGCCACGGCUAACUACGUGCCAGCCGCCGCGGUAAAAC
rnacentral:rRNA from 1 species